rnacentral:misc_RNA from 1 species
GAUGAAGAACGUAGCGAAAUGCGAUAAGUAGUGUGAAUUGCAGAAUUCAGUGAAUCAUCGAAUCUUUGAACGCACAUUGCGCCCUUUGGUAUUCCUUAGGGCAUCCCUGUUCGAGCGUCAUUUAAACCUUCAAGCUCAGCUUGGUGUUGGGUGACUGUCCGCUUCACCGCGGACUCGCCUCAAAAUUAUUGGCGGCCGGUACAUUGGCUUCGAGCGCAGCAGAAACGCGAACUCGGGCCCGUCGUAUUGGCUCCCAGAAGCUAUCUUCACAAUUUUGACCUCGGAUCAGGUAGGGAUACCCGCUGAACUUAAGCAUAUCAAUAAGCGGAGGA